GCUGCGGCGUGCCACACAUGCAAGUCGACGGAGCUAGACGCUGAUGAAUAGCUUGCUAGGAAGUCUGUUUAGCUUAGUGGCGGACGGGUGAGUACGCGUGAGCAACCUGCCUUUCAGAGGGGGAGUAACGUUUGGAAACGAACGCUAAUACCGCAUGAUAUUAAAGGGCUGCAUGGCCUGAUAAUCAAAGGAGCAAUCCGCUGAAAGAUGGGCUCGCGUCCGAUUAGGUAGUUGGUGAGGUAACGGCCCACCAAGCCGACGAUCGGUAGCCGGACUGAGAGGUUGAACGGCCACAUUGGGACUGAGACACGGCCCAGACUCCUACGGGAGGCAGCAGUGAGGGAUAUUGGUCAAUGGGGGAAACCCUGAACCAGCAACGCCGCGUGAGGGAGGACGGUUUUCGGAUUGUAAACCUCUGUCCUCUGUGAAGAUGAUGACGGUAGCAGAGGAGGAAGCUCCGGCUAACUACGUG
rnacentral:rRNA from 1 species